UUUGGUGGCGAUAGCGAAGAGGUCACACCCGUUCCCAUACCGAACACGGAAGUUAAGCUCUUCAGCGCCGAUGGUAGUUGGGGGUUUCCCCCUGUGAGAGU
rnacentral:rRNA from 2 species